ACGCACUCCAAUACGUUGAUUCCGAUGACGCUAACCUAUUAGAAUGCGUUGGAGUGAGUAGGAGCAUGUCGGAGCAUGGCGACGCGAACAAACCAAUAGAGAUACUGGAAACACCUAGAACGACGGGAUGACCGUUCUCAGCUUCUUUCUUGGUGCUGGCGAGUUAAUUAUUUUGCAUAUAUCUUGUUAGUAUUCAUUAGUAUUGUUCGUUUUGUCUGUUCUGGGUCUACUCGGAGCAAACCCGAGCAGACCAACGCACUCUAAUAGGUUGGCGUUAUCGGAAUCAACCUAUUAGAGUGCGUUGGGCUACUUGGGUUUGCUCCGAGUAGACCAACGGACAAAACGAACGAUACUCUACUCUAAUGUCAUCUUUCGUGAGAAUAUGGAUUAGCGCGAAGAAAGUAUUUUAGGAAUAAGAAUGAAUCUAUUGUAAACACGCGGUACGUUGGUUCGCAUAAUCUCGAGGAUUUAACAAUUUGUACUUAUCUUUGAUUUGUUGGGACAUCGAGAUACUCGCAAAUAUAUAUUAAAUUGUGAAUACUAAAAGAUAGUUUUUCUUACGAGUGUUGACGAUUCACGUGACGCAAAGUGACCGAUUCUGCGUUUUGUUGUGUUCGUUUUACAAGCGGAUUGACGGCGACGUUUAUGCAAAAAACUGUGCAGGGUGCCGGAGAUUAAUUCGAUUUGUCACUUGUCAUUUGUUUAUUGUGGAAAAUUUCGAAUUCCUCAGAAUUGUGGCAGCUACGGGUUGUUUCGGGUAUCAAUUUCCUACAAGGUCUCUAAGGAAAAAAUAGUGUCGUCAACUAAAAAUAAUUUACAUAAUUUAUUUGCGUUUAACAUGCUCAAGAAUAUUCUUUCUUGGAAGAUUUAUUACUUGUAAAGUCACGUUUAAUCGAUCAGGUUUAAUUAAUCUUAAUAAUCUUUAAUUAUUCUUCUGAUUUUUGAUUAUGUAUUCGUGAACGUAAUACUUUCAUAUCCAUAAAUCUUCUAGUUUGUUUAAAUGUUUUAUUUCGUAUUAUCUUUCAUCUUGCAGACUUUAAAUCUUUUUAUAUCUAUGUUAUCAACUCAUAUAAAACUCUCUUAGCAAUUAGAUUCUCAUUAGUUACUUUUUCUUUAGAUUUUGGUGUACAGAUUAAUUUUUAUUUUUAUUGGGUUUUUUAGAAUUUAUUAUUUGCUUAUAAGAGAUCAAAUUUCUUACUUAAAAAAAUGGAAAUUUUGUGAAAUAUAAAACAUUUCUGUUUAUAGUUUGCUUUAUACUAGGGUAUAUUAAUAUUUUCUUAAAUUAAAUUAUGUUAAAAUUAUAUAGUUUAUAAAAUUUAGUUACAUCAAAAA